AUCGCUUCUCGGCCUUUUGGCUAAGAUCAAGUGUAGUAUCUGUUCUUAUCAGUUUAAUAUCUGAUACGUCCUCUACCAGAGGACAAAAGAUAAAAAAAGAAAGGGCAAGACAU
ensembl:snRNA U2 U2 spliceosomal RNA